rnacentral:snoRNA from 1 species
UACAGUUGAGUCAAAUUGCUGCCAUGGCAGGGGCUAGCACAGCUGGCUGCCACAGCGAGCUCUAUAGCUCCUGAGCCCCAAGGCCUCUGACCUUGAGGCCUGGAGAUAAGUUUGGCUGUAGAUGUUG